rnacentral:rRNA from 1 species
UACGGGGGGGGCAAGCGUUGUUCGGAAUUACUGGGCGUAAAGCGCACGUAGGCGGAUACUUAAGUCAGGGGUGAAAUCCCGGGGCUCAACCCCGGAACUGCCUUUGAUACUGGGUAUCUCGAGUCCGAGAGAGGUGAGUGGAAUUCCGAGUGUAGAGGUGAAAUUCGUAGAUAUUCGGAGGAACACCAGUGGCGAAGGCGGCUCACUGGCUCGGUACUGACGCUGAGGUGCGAAAGCGUGGGGAGCAAACAGG